GAUGAACGCUAGCGGCAGGCCUAAUACAUGCAAGUCGGACGGGAUUCAGGAGCUUGCUUCUGAUGAGAGUGGCGCACGGGUGCGUAACACGUAUGUAACCUACCUUUACCAGGGGGAUAGCCUCUCGAAAGAGAGAUUAAGCCCGCAUAAAAUCACAGCACAGCAUUGUGUAUUGAUCAAAUAUUUAUAGGAUAAAGAUGGGCAUGCGGAACAUUAGCUAGAUGGCGGGGUAACGGCCCACCAUGGCGACGAUGUUUAGGGGAUCUGAGAGGAUGGCCCCCCACACUGGUACUGAGACACGGACCAGACUCCUACGGGAGGCAGCAGUAAGGAAUAUUGGUCAAUGGGCGGAAGCCUGAACCAGCCAUGCCGCGUGCAGGAAGACGGCCCUACGGGUUGUAAACUGCUUUUAUACGGGAAUAAACCCAGAUACGUGUAUCUGGCUGAAUGUACUGUAAGAAUAAGGAUCGGCUAACUCCGUG
rnacentral:rRNA from 1 species